UCAGGCCUAACACAUGCAAGUCGAGCGGCAGCGGGAAAGUAGCUUGCUACUUUUGCCGGCGAGCGGCGGACGGGUGAGUAAUGCCUGGGAAAUUGCCCAGUCGAGGGGGAUAACAGUUGGAAACGACUGCUAAUACCGCAUACGCCCUACGGGGGAAAGCAGGGGACCUUCGGGCCUUGCGCGAUUGGAUAUGCCCAGGUGGGAUUAGCUAGUUGGUGAGGUAAUGGCUCACCAAGGCGACGAUCCCUAGCUGGUCUGAGAGGAUGAUCAGCCACACUGGAACUGAGACACGGUCCAGACUCCUACGGGAGGCAGCAGUGGGGAAUAUUGCACAAUGGGGGAAACCCUGAUGCAGCCAUGCCGCGUGUGUGAAGGAGGCCUUCGGGUUGUAAAGCACAUUGAGCGAGGAGGAAAGGUCAGUAGCUAAUAUCUG
rnacentral:rRNA from 1 species